AACAAAAUUUGCCUAUUACCACAUAUUUUGCUAAAGUAAAAUUUGCCUAUUCUCUCUAUCAUUUUUUCUCUCUGUCCUAGAUCUAGGGCUUUCUCUCUGUCUCCUCAUGCUCCUUGAGAGAUUCACUAGGACGAAGAUAGUUCGGUUAAGUUGCACAAAUCGGCGGGGUUACGAGACCGAGGAGUGAAGAAGGAUCAAGAUCAUUGGGACCGUGAGAGGGACUGGGACCAAGACCGAGACCGAUUGAGUCAGAGCAAGAGAAAACCAGCUGAUGAAAUGAUA